GCUGGUUUAUUCAAGAGAGAGCAGCACAUCAGGCAGCCCUGCUUCUGACUAUUUCAGUUUCUCCUUGUCACUGGCACUUUGGAUGCUGCAGUAUGAAUGCUGCUCACACUUUUUGGAGCCUACAGAUUCCCAGAGUAGUUUCCUGCCUCCCCCCUGGUAUUGGGCUCAUCAGCUGGGACGUUGUUGCUACCUCACUUCCCUGUCUCCUCAGCAGGCACUGAAGAGAGAGAGACAGAGCAUGCAAGACUGGAGAAAUAUGAGGUCCCAGCAUACUGGAGAGACUGGCACUGAUCUA